ACGCCGGCCGCCGGUUACGUUCUGCUAAGUCCAGAUAUGGAAAGCUGAGACCAGGGACAGCCAGGGACAGAGCUGCCGUGUUUCCGAACUUGUGGGUAGCGCCGGUGGGUUGGGCGCACUGGACGUCAUGAGUAAUGAGGAAAACUAAGAGCAUGCUUGGUCAGCAAAUCUGGGAGGACUGUCUUCUGGGAUGCCUAGGAAUGGUCUUAGGCUCAUUUCCCACCCAAAAGGAAAACCAUCCACAGCUCAAGAAACUGCAACGUGCUUUUCAUGAAAAGCUAUCACAUCUCAAGACAACACUGCCAGGAUCUUUUCCAAAGGUAGUGGAAGUUCCUCAGACCUUAGCCAUCAGUCUACAUUAAAUGGACUCACAUGCUACAUGCCCAGGGGUAUGUAAGGUUGGUAACAUAUAAGAAGCAAAGAAUCUACAUAGGUUAUUUGUGGAAAAAUAAUUUCCUAGUUGCAAAGAAGACACAGUAUAGAAUAUUAAUCUUGAACUUGCAGAAGAAUGUUUAAAUAAGUAAAAUUAGUCAUAAUUAGCCUUUAAACCACAAUGGUAACUACAUGCACCAUCUGUAUUAACUUUAAAAACUUCUUAAUGUUGUCACAUUGUAUUUAUAUGUUGCAUUUUUCUCCUGUGAAAAGAAACUGAGUGUGCACCUUAAAAGGGCUGCUCUCCUAUCUAAAUUUCCCACUACCUAGAUUGGUUACCUUUUCUUAUUCCUGUCCUAGGGUCCCAUAACAACCUGCAGUACAGUUUGCCAGUAUAGCCAAGUCACUUCCUGAACUUACACAUUUCAACCCUGAUGACAGAGGCAGCAUGUAAAAUGCCAAUAUAUGCCUGUCAGAAGACUACAUCAUGACACAGACCUGGUCAGAACUGUUAAUAUUUGUACUUCACCUACAGAUAAAGACCAAGUUUCGCAGACAAUCAUAUUACAAGUACACUACAGGAACAUAUGAGUGGCUAUU